CGUCGUGAGACAGUUCGGUCCCUAUCUACCGUGGGCGUUGGAGAAUUGAGAGGAUCUGUCCCUAGUACGAGAGGACCGGGAUGGACGAACCUCUGGUGUUUCAGUUGUUCCGCCAGGAGCAUUGCUGGGUAGCCACGUUCGGAACGGAUAACCGCUGAAGGCAUCUAAGCGGGAAGCCGGCCUCAAGAUUAAUUCUCCCGGGGACUUGAUCCCCCUGAAGGGCCGUCGAAGACUACGACGUUGAUAGGCUGGGUGUGGAAGUGUGGCAACACGCGGAGCUGACCAGUACUAAUUGCCCGUGCGGCUUGACCAUGCAA
rnacentral:rRNA from 1 species